rnacentral:rRNA from 1 species
UACGAAGGUCCCAAGCGUUAUCCGGAUUUAUUGGGUUAAGGUGCGUAGGCGGGUUAUAAGUCAGUGGUGAAAGCCUACAGCUUAACUGUAGAAUUGCCAUUGAUACUGAUGAUCUGAGUAUGAUUGAGGUGGGCGGAAUGUGUCAUGUAGCGGUGAAAUGCUUAGAUAUGACACAGAACACCGAUUGCGAAGGCAGCUCCACUAAGCCAUAACUGACGCUGAUGCACGAAGCGUGGGAGCAA